CAAGUUGAUGGUGGUCACAAAUUCUUUCUACCAAUAAGGAUGACAAAAGUGUCAUUUGUCCCGCCCUAACAGGUGCAACAACACUAACAUUGGAC